AUUGAACGCUGGCGGCAGGCCUAACACAUGCAAGUCGAGCGGAUGAAGGGAGCUUGCUCCUGGAUUCAGCGGCGGACGGGUGAGUAAUGCCUAGGAAUCUGCCUGGUAGUGGGGGAUAACGUCCGGAAACGGGCGCUAAUACCGCAUACGUCCUGAGGGAGAAAGUGGGGGAUCUUCGGACCUCACGCUAUCAGAUGAGCCUAGGUCGGAUUAGCUAGUUGGUGGGGUAAAGGCCUACCAAGGCGACGAUCCGUAACUGGUCUGAGAGGAUGAUCAGUCACACUGGAACUGAGACACGGUCCAGGCUCCUACGGGAGGCAGCAGUGGGGAAUAUUGGACAAUGGGCGAAAGCCUGAUCCAGCCAUGCCGCGUGUGUGAAGAAGGUCUUCGGAUUGUAAAGCACUUUAAGUUGGGAGGAAGGGCAGUAAGUUAAUACCUUGCUGUUUUGACGUUACCAACAGAAUAAGCACCGGCUAACUGCGU
rnacentral:rRNA from 1 species